rnacentral:rRNA from 1 species
AGAAUCAACGCUGGCGGCGUGCCUCAGACAUGCAAGUCGAACGAUUAAAGCUCUCUUCGGAGAGUGUAUAGAGUGGCGCACGGGUGAGUAACACGUAAGUAAUCUACCUUUGAGUGGGGAAUAACGUCCGGAAACGGACGCUAAUACCGCAUAAUGCAGCGGCAUCGCAAGAUGACAGUUGUUAAAGAUUUAUCGCUUGAAGAGGAGCUUGCGGCAGAUUAGCUUGUUGGUAAGGUAACGGCUUACCAAGGCUACGAUCUGUAACCGGUCUAAGAGGACGGUCGGUCACACUGACACUGAAUAACGGGUCAGACUCCUACGGGAGCAGCGAGUCGGGAAUUUUGGGCAAGUGGGACGAAAGCCUAGACCCAGACAACGCCGCGUGAAGGAUAGAAGUAGUUUCGGUAAUGUAAACUUCGAAAAGAAUAGGAAGAAUCAAUGAACGGUACCAUUUAGUAAGUCCGGACUAACUACGUGCCAGCAGCCG